AAGCUUCCUAAAACGAACGACCCUAGCCUGCUCCUCUUGCAAUGGAGACGGUCAUUUCUCCAGAUAGUUCCCCAGCUCUGGAAAAUGAGCAUCCUCAAGAGACCUCCGAAUCCAACAAUAGUGUGUAUACUUCCUUCAUGAAGUCUCAUCGCUGUUAUGACCUGAUUCCCACAAGCUCCAAAUUGGUUGUAUUUGAUACAUCCCUGCAGGUGAAGAAAGCUUUCUUUGCUUUGGUGACUAAUGGUGUACGAGCUGCCCCUUUGUGGGAUAGUAAGAAACAAAGUUUUGUGGGCAUGCUGACCAUCACUGAUUUCAUCAAUAUCCUGCAUCGCUACUAUAAAUCAGCUUUGGUACAGAUCUAUGAACUAGAAGAACACAAGAUAGAGACAUGGAGAGAGGUGUACCUACAGGACUCCUUUAAACCGCUUGUCUGCAUUUCUCCUAAUGCCAGCUUGUUUGAUGCUGUAUCUUCAUUAAUUCGAAACAAGAUCCACAGGCUACCAGUUAUUGACCCAGAAUCAGGAAACACCUUGUACAUCCUCACCCACAAACGCAUCCUGAAGUUCCUCAAAUUGUUUUUCUCUCCUCAGAUCACAGAGUUCCCUAAACCAGAGUUCAUGUCUAAGUCUCUGGAAGAGCUACAGAUUGGCACCUAUGCCAAUAUUGCUAUGGUCCGUACUACCACCCCUGUCUACGUGGCCCUGGGCAUCUUUGUUCAACACCGAGUCUCAGCCCUGCCAGUGGUGGAUGAGAAAGGGCGUGUGGUGGACAUCUACUCCAAGUUUGAUGUUAUCAAUCUCGCAGCAGAAAAGACCUAUAAUAACCUAGAUGUGUCUGUGACUAAAGCCCUGCAACAUCGAUCCCAUUACUUUGAAGGCGUUCUCAAGUGCUACCUGCAUGAGACUCUGGAGACCAUCAUCAACAGGCUGGUAGAAGCAGAGGUUCACCGACUUGUCGUAGUGGAUGAGAAUGAUGUGGUCAAGGGAAUUGUAUCACUGUCUGAUAUCCUGCAGGCCCUGGUGCUCACAGGUGGAGAGAAGAAGCUCUGAGCUGGGGGAAGGGGUCAGGUAUCACCAGGGGAUGUGCCCCACUCACUGCUAGAAGCUCUGGGAAUCAGGUGAAACUUGUGAGGACUGUGACUCUGUUCCCUGCUCAGGAGCCCCCUACCCUUCUAUCUGGGUUAUGUGAGGCAUAGUGGGGGAAGAAGAAUGGAUUUUUAGCUGCCCUUACCCUGUCACAUAUACUAGAAGAAAGCUAGCCAAUUCUUGCCCUGUCCUUUUAGAUAUAACCCCCUUGCUGGGUGAACUAUGGGCUUUGUGCCCCUCAGGCAAAUUUUGAUCUCUAAGAGAUCCCCAGACCUCACACUGCCUUUGCUUCCAUCUCUGCCGUGACUCUACCCAAAGAUAAUAGCACAAAAAAACUCUUCAUAAAGGUAUUUGUAUUCAUCCUCUUUCAUGCCAUUUGGAGGAGGCUGGGUCAACAUAGUGACACUUCCCAUAAUAUGAGCAGGGAGGAAUGUAGGGAGGCCUUUGGGUUCUUGUGCUGCAUGCAGAUGAAGGGAGAUGGGGCUUAGGUGGAGGAGGAGGACACAGUGAUUAGCCAAGAUUAUUGCUUUUCAUGGCAAAUCUAAUUAAAUGACAAGAAUCUUGUCAUGGUAAAA